UAGGGAAUCUUCCACAAUGGACGAAAGUCUGAUGGAGCAACGCCGCGUGAGUGAAGAAGGGUUUCGGCUACGUAAAACUCUGUUGUUAAAGAAGAACAUAUCUGAGAGUAACUGUUCAGGUAUUGACGUAUUUAACCAGAAAGCCACGGCUAACUACGUGCCAG
rnacentral:rRNA from 1 species